rnacentral:rRNA from 1 species
GACGGACGCUGGCGGCGUGCUUAACACAUGCAAGUCGAGCGAUGAAGCACCUUCGGGUGUGGAUUAGCGGCGAACGGGUGAGGAACACGUGAGGAAUCUGCCUUUCACUUCGGGAUAACUCCGGGAAACCGGGGCUAAUACCGGAUAUUUUCAACUGGCGGCAUCGCCGGUUGAAGAAAGUUUUUCGGUGAAAGAUGACCUCGCGGCCUAUCAGCUUGUUGGUGAGGUAAUGGCUCACCAAGGCGACGACGGGUAGCCGGCCUGAGAGGGCGACCGGCCACACUGGGACUGAGACACGGCCCAGACUCCUACGGGAGGCAGCAGUGGGGAAUAUUGGGCAAUGGAGGAAACUCUGACCCAGCGACGCCGCGUGAGGGAUGAAGGCCUUCGGGUUGUAAACCUCUUUCGGCAGGGAAUAAGCGAAAGUGAAGGUACCUGCAGAAGAAGCACCGGCUAACUAUGUGCCAGCCGCCGCGGUAA